ACGGGAGGCAGCAGCUAAGAAUAUUCCGCAAUGGACGAAAGUCUGACGGAGCGACGCCGCGUGGAUGAUGAAGGCCGGAAGGUUGUAAAAUCCUUUUAAGCAUGAAGAAUAAGCAUUAUGAGAGAAACGUAGUGCGGUGACGGUAGUGCUUGAAUAAGCAACGGCUAAUUACGUGCCAGCAGCCGCGGUAACACGUAAGUUGCGAGCGUUGUUCGGAAUUAUUGGGCGUAAAGGGCAUGUAGGCGGUUUAGCAAGCUUGGUGUGAAAGGCAGGAGCUUAACUCCUGGACUGCGUUGAGAACUGCAUAACUAGAGUGACUGAGGGGCAGGCAGAAUUCCAGGUGUAGGGGUGAAAUCUGUAGAUAUCUGGAAGAAUACCAAUGGCGAAGGCAGCCUGCCAGCAGAUGACUGACGCUGAGGUGCGAAGGUGCGGGGAGCAAACAGGAUUAGAUACCCUGGUA
rnacentral:rRNA from 1 species